rnacentral:rRNA from 1 species
AUGUGGAAUGACGAUAUUAAAGUUUCUGUUCAUAGCGCCUCCUUUCACUAUAUCCUAGCGAAUGUAGUUCAUCAAGCAUCGGGUGUUCACUUCUGUUUGAUUUGUAUAUAUGGUGACCCCUAUCAUAGGCAGACUAGUACUAUUUGGAGUCAAGUUUCUACUUUUGUGUAUGAUAAUCUGGGCAAGCCCAUGAUGUGUAUGGGAGACCUUAAUGAUAUCUUGUAUGAUACUGAUGGUUGCAAUGGUAGUGUAAAUUAUUACCAUAUGUCGUCUUUUUGGUCUCUUGUUAAAAACUGUGGGUUUUUUAUAUUGGUUUUAGUGGACCUGCGUACACUAAUAGGCAACACACUGCUAAUCCUAUUUACAGACGCUUGGAUAGAUGUCUUGUUAAUUCUGAUUGGUGUGCACAUUUUCCUAAUACGGAAGUUCUCAUUUGCCUAUCAUUCUCAGUGA